CAGUGACAACGAGCGCGGACACCCGGAGGACGUCGCGGAGGACAUCGAAGAGCUCCUGACCUGGAUCGACGAGGAAGUGAUGGCCAACACAGGCAUCCUGGACGACACCGCAGACAUGGAUGAUCUGCUCGCGUGGAUCAACAACGAAGAGAGACCCAGCACCAGCAGUCUUGCUGACGAUCUG